rnacentral:rRNA from 1 species
GAUGAACGCUAGCGGCAGGCUUAACACAUGCAAGUCGAACGGUAACAUUUCUUGCUUGCAAGAAGAUGACGAGUGGCGCACGGGUGCGUAACGCGUAUACAAUCUACCUUUAACAAAGGGAUAGCCCAUGGAAACGUGGAUUAAUACCUUAUAAUAUAUAUGAAUGGCAUCAUUUAUAUAUCAAAGAAUUUCGGUUAGAGAGGAGUAUGCGUGACAUUAGCUAGUUGGUGAGGUAACGGCCCACCAAGGCAACGAUGUCUAGGGGUUCUGAGAGGAUGAUCCCCCACACUGGUACUGAGACACGGACCAGACUCCUACGGGAGGCAGCAGUGAGGAAUAUUGCGCAAUGGAGGAAACUCUGACGCAGCCAUGCCGCGUGAAGGAAUGAAGGCCCUAUGGGUUGUAAACUUCUUUUAUAUGGGAAGAAA